rnacentral:rRNA from 1 species
UCAGGGGGAUAGCCUUUCGAAAGGAAGAUUAAUACCCCAUAAUAUAUUGAAUGGCAUCAUUUGAUAUUGAAAACUCCGGUGGAUAGAGAUGGGCACGCGCAAGAUUAGAUAGUUGGUAGGGUAACGGCCUACCAAGUCAGUGAUCUUUAGGGGGCCUGAGAGGGUGAUCCCCCACACUGGUACUGAGACACGGACCACACUCCGGAGGCAGCAAUGAGGAAUAUUGGACAAUGGGUGAGAGCCUGAUCCAGCCAUCCCGCGUGAAGGACGACCGCCCUAUGGGUUGUAAACUUCUUUUGUAUAGGGAUAAACCUUUCCACGUGUGGAAAGCUGAAGGUACUAUACGAAUAAGCACCGGCUAACUCCGUGCCAGCAGCCGCGGUAAUACGGAGGGUGCAAGCGUUAUCCGGAUUUAUUGGGUUUAAAGGGUCCGUAGGCGGAUCUGUAAGUCAGUGGUGAAAUCUCAUAGCUUAACUAUGAAACUGCCAUCGAUACUGCAGGUCUUGAGUAAAGUAGAAGUGGCUGGAAUAAGUAGUGUAGCGGUGAAAUGCAUAGAUAUUACUUAGAACACCAAUUGCGAAGGCAGGUCACUAUGUUUUAACUGACGCUGAUGGACGAAAGCGUGGGGAGCGAACACGAUUAGAUACCCUGGUAGUCCACGCCGUAAACGAUGCUAACUCGUUUUUGGGUCUUCGGAUUCAGAGACUAAGCGAAAGUGAUAAGUUAGCCACCUGGGGAGUACGUUCGCAAGAAUGAAACUCAAAGGAAUUGACGGGGGCCCGCACAAGCGGUGGAUUAUGUGGUUUAAUUCGAUGAUACGCGAGGAACCUUACCAAGGCUUAAAUGGGAAUUGACAGGUUUAGAAAUAGACUUUUCUUCGGACAAUUUUCAAGGUGCUGCAUGGUUGUCGUCAGCUCGUGCCGUGAGGUGUUAGGUUAAGUCCUGCAACGAGCGCAACCCCUGUCACUAGUUGCCAUCAUUCAGUUGGGGACUCUAGUGAGACUGCCUACGCAAGUAGAGAGGAAGGUGGGGAUGACGUCAAAUCAUCACGGCCCUUACGCCUUGGGCCACACACGUAAUACAAUGGCCGGUACAGAGGGCAGCUACCUAGCGAUAGGAUGCGAAUCUCGAAAGCCGGUCUCAGUUCGGAUUGGAGUCUGCAACUCGACUCUAUGAAGCUGGAAUCGCUAGUAAUCGCAUA